rnacentral:tRNA from 1 species
GGAGAGGUGGCUGAGUGGUCGAAAGCACCUCACUGCUAACGAGGCGUAGGACUAUAAUCCUACCGCGGGUUCGAAUCCCGCCCUCUCCGCCA